UUCCUUUUGAAAUAGAUAAAAGGUAAGGCCUGCCCAGUGACGAGUAUAGGGUUAAACGGCCGCGGUAAUUUGACCGUGCAAAGGUAGCAUAAUCAUUAGUUCUUUUAUUGGGAGCUGGAAUGAAGGGCUAAUACGGGAGAAGAGCUGUCUAUGAAAGAACUUGAAUUUUAGUUCUUUGUGAGGACGCGAAGAUGGGGCUAAUAGACGAGAAGACCCUAUUAAGCUUUACAUUUUUUAAUUAAGAGAGUAAGCAAAAAGUUACUAGUGUUUUGUUGGGGCGACAGAUGAAACUUAUUUUUAAAGGGAAUAUUUUGUUUAGACGUUAAUUGACCCAUGAAUUUUAUGGUGUAAGAGAAAGUUACUAUAGGGAUAACAGCGUUAUCAGACUGUAGAGUACAAAUCGAUAGUUUGGUUUGCGACCUCGAUGUUGAAUUAGGAGACCCUUUAGCUGUAGGAGGCGAGUAGGGCAGUCUGUUCGACUGUUAAAUUCCUACG
rnacentral:rRNA from 1 species